GAACGCUGGCGGCGUGCUUAACACAUGCAAGUCGAACGGAACAUUCCACCCGAUGAUUGAGAAAGCUUGCUUUUGAUUGAAUCAACCGGAAUGUUUAGUGGCGGACGGGUGAGUAACGCGUGGGUAACCUACCUUACACAGGGGGAUAACAGUUAGAAAUGACUGCUAAUACCGCAUAAGCGCACAGUACCGCAUGGUACAGUGUGAAAAACUCCGGUGGUGUAAGAUGGACCCGCGUCUGAUUAGCUAGUUGGUGAGGUAACGGCCCACCAAGGCGACGAUCAGUAGCCGGCCUGAGAGGGUGAACGGCCACAUUGGAACUGAGACACGGUCCAAACUCCUACGGGAGGCAGCAGUGGGGAAUAUUGCACAAUGGGGGAAACCCUGAUGCAGCGACGCCGCGUGAGUGAAGAAGUAUUUCGGUAUGUAAAGCUCUAUCAGCAGGGAAGAUCAUGACGGUACCUGACUAAGAAGCUCCGGCUAAAUACGUGCC
rnacentral:rRNA from 1 species